rnacentral:rRNA from 1 species
AGAGUUUGAUCCUGGCUCAGGAUGAACGCUGGCGGCGUGCCUAAUACAUGCAAGUCGAGCGAACCACUUCGGUGGUGAGCGGCGAACGGGUGAGUAACACGUAGGUGAUCUGCCCAUCAGACGGGGACAACGAUUGGAAACGAUCGCUAAUACCGGAUAGGACGAAAGUUUAAAGGUGCUUUGGCACCACUGAUGGAUGAGCCUGCGGCGCAUUAGCUAGUUGGUAGGGUAAAGGCCUACCAAGGCGACGAUGCGUAGCCGACCUGAGAGGGUGAACGGCCACACUGGGACUGAGACACGGCCCAGACUCCUACGGGAGGCAGCAGUAGGGAAUCUUCGGCAAUGGGCGAAAGCCUGACCGAGCAACGCCGCGUGAAUGAUGAAGGCCUUCGGGUUGUAAAAUUCUGUUAUAAGGGAAGAAUGACUCUAGUAGGAAAUGGCUAGAGUGUGACGGUACCUUAUGAGAAAGCCACGGCUAACUACGUGCCAGCAGCCGCGGUAAUACGUAGGUGGCGAGCGUUAUCCGGAAUUAUUGGGCGUAAAGAGCGCGCAGGUGGUUGAUUAAGUCUGAUGUGAAAGCCCACGGCUUAACCGUGGAGGGUCAUUGGAAACUGGUCAACUUGAGUGCAGAAGAGGGAAGUGGAAUUCCAUGUGUAGCGGUGAAAUGCGUAGAGAUAUGGAGGAACACCAGUGGCGAAGGCGGCUUCCUGGUCUGUAACUGACACUGAGGCGCGAAAGCGUGGGGAGCAAACAGGAUUAGAUACCCUGGUAGUCC